rnacentral:tRNA from 1 species
GGCGGGGAUGGCGAAGGCGUCGCGGCGCGGUGCCGCCGCGGGUGAGCCGGACGACGGCGGUGCGGGGCUCGACGCCCCCCGCGCCC